rnacentral:rRNA from 1 species
GACGAACGCUGGCGGCGUGCCUAAUACAUGCAAGUCGAACGCAGUGGGGACGGGUGAGUAACACGUGGGUAACCUCCCAUCAGAGGGGAUAACACUUGGAAACAGGUGCUAAACCGAUACUGAUGGAUGGACCCGGGGGGCAUUAGCUAGUUGGUGGGGUAACGGCUCACCAAGGCCACGAUCCAUAGCCGACCUGGGAGGGGGACCGGCCACACUGGGACUGAGACACGGCCCAGACUCCUACGGGAGGCAGCAGUAGGGAAUCUUCGGCAAGGGACGAAAGCCUGACGGAGCAACGCCGCGUGAAUGAAGAAGGUUUUCGGAUCGUAAAACUCUGUCGUUAGGGAAGCGUUAUCUAAACAAAAAGCAACGGCUAACUACGUGCCAGCAGCCGCGGUAAUAC